CCUGCCCUUAACUCUGGGAUAAGCCUGGGAAACUGGGUCUAAUACCGGAUAUGACUCCUCAUCGCAUGGUGGGGGGUGGAAAGCUUUAUUGUGGUUUUGGAUGGACUCGCGGCCUAUCAGCUUGUUGGUGAGGUAAUGGCUCACCAAGGCGACGACGGGUAGCCGGCCUGAGAGGGUGACCGGCCACACUGGGACUGAGACACGGCCCAGACUCCUACGGGAGGCAGCAGUGGGGAAUAUUGCACAAUGGGCGAAAGCCUGAUGCAGCGACGCCGCGUGAGGGAUGACGGCCUUCGGGUUGUAAACCUCUUUCAGUAGGGAAGAAGCGAAAGUGACGGUACCUGCAGAAGAAGCGCCGGCUAACUACGUGCCAGCAGCCGCGGUAAUACGUAGGGCGCAAGCGUUAUCCGGAAUUAUUGGGCGUAAAGAGCUCGUAGGCGGUUUGUCGCGUCUGCCGUGAAAGUCCGGGGCUCAACUCCGGAUCUGCGGUGGGUACGGGCAGACUAGAGUGAUGUAGGGGAGACUGGAAUUCCUGGUGUAGCGGUGAAAUGCGCAGAUAUCAGGAGGAACACCGAUGGCGAAGGCAGGUCUCUGGGCAUUAACUGACGCUGAGGAGCGAAAGCAUGGGGAGCGAACAGGAUUAGAUACCCUGGUAGUCCAUGCCGUAAACGUUGGGCACUAGGUGUGGGGGACAUUCCACGUUUUCCGCGCCGUAGCUAACGCAUUAAGUGCCCCGCCUGGGGAGUACGGCCGCAAGGCUAAAACUCAAAGGAAUUGACGGGGGCCCGCACAAGCGGCGGAGCAUGCGGAUUAAUUCGAUGCAACGCGAAGAACCUUACCAAGGCUUGACAUGAACCGGAAAUACCUGGAAACAGGUGCCCCGCUUGCGGUCGGUUUACAGGUGGUGCAUGGUUGUCGUCAGCUCGUGUCGUGAGAUGUUGGGUUAAGUCCCGCAACGAGCGCAACCCUCGUUCUAUGUUGCCAGCGCGUUAUGGCGGGGACUCAUAGGAGACUGCCGGGGUCAACUCGGAGGAAGGUGGGGACGACGUCAAAUCAUCAUGCCCCUUAUGUCUUGGGCUUCACGCAUGCUACAAUGGCCGGUACAAAGGGUUGCGAUACUGUGAGGUGGAGCUAAUCCCAAAAAGCCGGUCUCAGUUCGGAUUGGGGUCUGCAACUCGACCCCAUGAAGUCGGAGUCGCUAGUAAUCGCAGAUCAGCAACGCUGCGGUGAAUACGUUCCCGGGCCUUGUACACACCGCCCGUCAAGUCACGAAAGUUGGUAACACCCGAAGCCGGU
rnacentral:rRNA from 1 species